rnacentral:rRNA from 1 species
AGGACGAACGCUGGCGGCGUGCUUAACACAUGCAAGUCGAGCGGAAAGGCCCUUCGGGGUACUCGAGCGGCGAACGGGUGAGUAACACGUGAGCAACCUGCCCUUAGCUCUGGGAUAGCUCCGGGAAACCGGAAUUAAUACCGGAUAUGACCUAGGCCGACAUCGGCCGUGGUGGAAAGUUUUUCGGCUAGGGAUGGACUCGCGGCCUAUCAGCUAGUUGGUGGGGUAAUGGCCUACCAAGGCGACGACGGGUAGCCGGCCUGAGAGGGCGACCGGCCACACUGGGACUGAGACACGGCCCAGACUCCUACGGGAGGCAGCAGUGGGGAAUCUUGCGCAAUGGGCGAAAGCCUGACGCAGCGACGCCGCGUGGGGAUGAAGGCCUUCGGGUGUAAACCCCUUUCAGCAGGACGAAGCGAAAGUGACGGUACCUGCAGAAGAAGCGCCGGCUAACUACGCGCCAGCAGCCGC